rnacentral:rRNA from 1 species
UAUGUGUGCCCAAGCAUUGAGGCAGUCAAAGUAGGCAAAUCCGCUUUGAUAAUGCUGGGAUGUGAGGGGAAGCGAAAUUUAGUAGCGAAGGAGGUGAGUUCACACUGUCAAGAAAAGUCUCUAUCGAGGUUAAAGGUACCCGGACCGCAAACCGACACAGGUGGGCGAGGAGAGUAUCCUAGGGCCAGCGAGGGAACUGUUGUUAAGGAACUCGGCAAAAUGGCCCGGUAACUUAGGGAUAAGGGGUGCCACCAUCAGGUGGCCGCAGAGAAUAGGCCCAAGCGACUGUUUACCAAAAACAUAGGUUUCUGCUAAGUCGCAAGACGAUGUAUAGGAGCUGACGCCUGCCCGGUGCUGGAA